GCAUUUAUAUUCAUAUAUGUUUAAAUAUAUACAUAUGUAUGUUGUAUAUGCAUAUAUUUUCUGUUAUAAUAACUGAAGACAGUACCUUUUUUAAGGCAGAUAAUGUUAUUUCCAGUGACUUACUGAGACGUGUAAUUCACCAUCGAUAUGUCUUUUAACAUUCCAAAAAAAGAUAAUCUUCUGAAGAAUAAUUCAGUAGCUUUUGUUUCUGUGUAUGGAGUGACAGACUAGAUAAGAUAUAGACUGAGAAAAGAAAGGUUUAUGAGCGAAAGACAUGUUAUGAUAUUUUUGGAAACGGGUCAGGAACAGAUAAUAAUGAUCGGAAGUGAGUGAACUUGCCUAAUCUUAAAGGUCAAAGGAAGAGGACACAACAUAAGACUGGUCGUCAAUUACUAUCCAUAAUGGAGUGCAUCAGAGGUAUUGCAGUUCCCAAAGCAAGAAAGUCCGUUGCAACAGGCAUCUUGCACACUUUCCUCACACAAGGAUCCUCUUGGUACGUGCGUUACGAUGCUGUGCAAGAUACCGCCAGAAAGGAACGUCGGGUACAGGAGAAUCAAUUGGAAAUAUGGUUAUCUAUUAAUUUAUGUUUUAUAUGUAUAGUUCAUUCUUUUUCUUCUGACGACCAGUUAUCGCCUGUUGGUUGGAUUUAAAAGACAGGCUGUGCUUUCAUACAGAGACCGUUGAGCCGUUAGUGAAUACCUCGGUAAAUAUUCUUGCAAGCAGAAGAACUCGAUCCGUUGAUAUUCUUGAUGGCAUCAUGUAUCAAUAAACACGGUUCCUGCAUGUUUGCUCAUUCCAUUAAAAGAAUCGUUUUGCUAAGUGGAUACAGUUGCAAUACCAUUCGUAGCCGAGUGCAUGUAUUAUAUACAUCGUAUUUUGUUUCAGGGAGAGAAAGAAAGAAAAAGGAAGAAAGAAAGAAAAA
rnacentral:lncRNA from 1 species